AUCAGUUAAUUAUAUCAUUGCAAAAAGAGACUGAGAAUUUAUUGGUGCAGACGAAUCGCAAAACUAUGUUAAAUUUAACUAUGAAACAUAAAAAUAAAAUCACCCAGCUGAGGAAAAAGGUUGACGAUAUUUCUAAACGACGCGACGAAGAGGUCAAAAAUAUAGAGUCACUUUACAAUUUAAAUCAACAAUCAAUGCAGAAGAUGUUAAGAAGUUAACUGUUUAUUAAAAAAUAAUUGAAGAG